rfam:Rhizoclosmatium globosum strain JEL800 BCR33scaffold_48, whole genome shotgun sequence.
GGGCGCAUGGCAAAAUGGUUACCGCGCUUGACUACGAAUCAAGAGAUUCCAGGUUCGACCCCUGGUGCGCUCG